rnacentral:lncRNA from 1 species
AUUCCACGCUUCAGCGGACCAGCCUCCCCGCGCUCCCGGAGAAGGGGGUCGGCGACGCGGAGGCGGGGUGGGGGCCGUAGGGGAUGGAACCGAGGCGCGCGCGAGAAGAGCCGAGGAAGACAGGCCCGAGGCGCGGUUGCACACCGGCAGGUCCAGCACCUCCAUGCCUCGAGGCAUGGCGCGGCCAGGGAGCGGCAGGAGGACACCUAGCGUGGGACGGCUACACCUGUCUGGGCGCAGGCCCGCCGCCCUUGCACUCUCCACCCAAGUGCCCAACGCUGCGGUACGGCCCGCUUUGGCUCGGGGUGUCUGCCGGAGAAGCGCCUUACAGAGGGACCCGGGCGGUGGGCCCUGCGGCAAAGUGGCCCACGCACCCUCCACACCGCUCCCGGGCGGCCGCACCUGGCACUCCCGGCCCUCUGGGGUUCCUGCCUUUUUCGGGGGGGUGGUGGUGAGACCGGGUCUCACUCUGUCGCCUGACCUGCGAUCACUGCUGACUGCAGUCUUGAACUCCUGGACCCAAGCGAUUCUCCUGCCUCCGCCUCCCAAAGUGCUAGGAUUACAGGUGUAAGCCGCUGCGCCUGGCCCCUUCUUUUCUUCACUCUCUCAUGCAUUCAUUUCUUGUUUCCACAUGCAUUAAUUUGUCCGUUGCUUUGGUCAUUCCUGUUUUGAUGCUUAGGGAAACACUCACUGAGAGCCAAGCCGACCGUUGGGUACUGUGGUCUCUGGGAUGACAAAGACAUGGUCCUUUCCCUUGAGGACUUCACAUUAAACUGACAAGUUCAUUCAUUCUGGCUUUUCUCUAAAGUGCACGAUCAUGAAAGUCUGUGACAAGGGCCAUAUUUCUGAGAUGUUAGAAAGUGCGACCGGCGCGCAA